rnacentral:rRNA from 1 species
AUUGAACGCUGGCGGCAGGCUUAACACAUGCAAGUCGAACGAGUGGCGGACGGGUGAGUAAUGCUUGGGAAUCUAGCUUAUGGAGGGGGAUAACUAAGGGAAACUGUAGCUAAUACCGCGUACAAUAGGAUGAGCCCAAGUGGGCGUAGGUAGUUGGUGAGGUAAAGGCUCACCAAGCCGACGAUCUCUAGCGGGUCAGCGAGGAUGACCAGCCACACUUUGACUGAGACACGGCCCAGACUCCUACGAGAGGCAGCAGGUGGGAAGAGUGCGCAAUGGGGGCAACCUGACUCAGCCAUGCUGCGUGAAUGAAGAAUGCCUUCGGGUUGUAAAGUUCUUUCUGUAGCGAGGCGUUAACUACAGAAGAAGCACCGGCUAACUCCGUGCCAGCAGCCGCGGUAAUUC